UGUGUGCAGGUAAUGACUGUAUAACGCCAUCAUGGAACACCAUCACUCCCAAUCUGACCAAGCCUCAUUUUAGGGCAAUGGAACCACGCAGGAAAAGGUGUCAAUGGCAGAUUAUUCAGGCUUGGAAAAUCACCCCUCAUGUUUUUAUUCAUGCCUGCGCCACAAACAACAACAGAAUGUGGUUUUCAGUGUAAAUAUGCUGGAUCGAUAUAGUGCUAGAAUUGUGUAUUGUAUAUGUAUUGUCAUAAUGAGUACAUCAGAGAGGGAAUGCUAUUUUUGACAGGGAUGAUAGAUGGUAGGGACGGGCAUUGGCAGUGGGAAAUACUAACCAUCAAUUAAUUGAUUUCUAUUAUUAAUCAACGUGUUAUAAUAUCACUGGUGCUCUUUCUGAAUGUUUGGAGCUACUGUUUCGAUGCCAGGAGUAUGCGGAGAAUAAUUCUGCCCAAUGAGAUGUAGGCUUAAAACGGACAACAUGUUUCUUCUUUAGACAGCAAACUAGUUGGGACUGAAUCAAGAGGACCUCGCUAGUUGGAGCCAAGCCAUGUAAUACGUUUUGCCUCAAUCGCUUCCGGACACGUCACAUGCGGUGUAGGGGCUCACUUGCCUUACUUCCAGUCAGGCAGUGUAGAUUCAUUUCCCGCUCAGUGACUCAGUAAAGUGGGUGUAUAUAAUGGGGUUCAAAUAGAUUUGGAUUUUCUGUUAUAGUUAGUUUUCAUUUCCUUUGGACUUUUGUUUUUCAAGUUUGGUUAGAUUUGAUUUGUUUUUAGAGCAGGUUUUCUAGUUUUUAUUGUUUUGAAAAUGCUUAGAACUCCUUUUUUUUUUUUUUAAAUUAGGUUUAGUUUCUUUAAUAGUGGGUUUUUGUCUGGUACAAGAUUAAAAUAGGUCACAAUAAGUACUGUGUAAUACCAACUCAACAAAAGAUUAUUAUAAUUGAUUAUUACCGAGAUCAUAAAAGCCGCAUUCCGCUUGGCCGGCCGGUACCCAUCAGCUGCCUCAGGAGUGCCACAAGCCAAAAAGACCCGAUAGGACUCCUUCUUCAGCUUGACGGAAUCCCCCACCGUUGGUGUCCACCAAUGGGUUCGGGGAUUGCCGCCACGACAGGCACCGAUAUCUUACGGCCACAACUCUGGUCGGCCGCCUCAGCAAUGGAGGCACGGAACAUGGUCCACUCAGACUCAAUUUCCCCCGCCUCCCCCAGGACGUGGGUGAAGUUCUGCCGGAGGUGUGAGGUGCAACUCCUUCUGACAGGGGAUUCUGCCAGACGUACCCAGCAGACUCUCACGAUACAUUUGGGCCUGCCAGGUCGGCCGGCAUCUUUUUACAUUUUUUUUUUAUCUUCAUAGGGGUUUUUGGGGCUGUGCUUUGUAUGGUCCCUCGCCUAGGACCUGUUUUCCAUGGGUGACCCUGCUAGGGGCAUAAAGCCCCAGACAACUUAGCUCCUAGGAUCAUUGGGACCAAAAGCUUAUGUAUAAAAUUAAUUGACAAAGACAAAAACAAAGGACCAUUUUGGUAUAAUUAUAGUUGGGUCUCCGGGCAAGUGGCGGGGCACACCGCGAACUAGUCGCCAACCAAUCGCAGUAGUUAUUGUUUUGUUUUUUGUUUUGUUUUUAAAAAAAAACACAUUUACUCAAUGACAUUUUGUUUUCAAGUUUAGCUUUCAUCAUUUUGUUCAUUUUUGUUGUUGUUUUGCUGUCGUUGACAGGGCAAGUUAUAGUGACCAGUCCAGGGUGCAUUCUGCCUGUCACCAGGCUGGAAUAGGCUACAGUCCCUUGCGACCCUGAACAGGAUAAGCAGUAUAGAAAAUGGAUGGAAACAAUGAAUUGACAAUAAUGUCCAGCCCUUAAUUCAUAUGAGCAGAAAUUAAGUGGAUUAUGUGUUUAUAUAAAUGAAAAGAGUUCAUACGGAGGAUGAGUAUGUUCAUGUAACUUGCUGCUCGCCAUUUCAGUGGCUCCGAAGGCAACACCUUGCAUCCUUCACAGUGUAAUGGUAUCUCCAUGGCCCAGUCCGGCUCUAAUCACUAGCCCUUCCUGCUGGGCCGGUGUCAUAUCUUGCCGAGCCCGCUGACGGUAACUAGGAUGAGGUACAUGUACCUCCUGCGGAUUACAUGGCUGCUGUCUCCACAGUGACAGAGGCCCUUGCUGAUACAAGCAGAUCUCUGUGUGACUUUAGGUCCUUGACGUGAUGUUUAAAUGGAUGGACUGGCAGAUGGAGAUCAGCGGUAGAGCAUACUAGCGACGCUGAAAGAGCCUUUUCACAUGCAGUCCACACAUUAAAUACACAAUUCCUAAAAACACUUUAGGAGUAUCGAUGGAAGAUAAAAUAAAUACAAAAACAGUGGUUUGUGGAUUCACAACCUGGAGAGCAUCCAGAGGUUCAAGGCAGUGAAUAUUUUUUAGUAAUCCAUGAUUGUUUAAAUUUAGACUGGUGUGUUGUGAAAAUUGAUUGACAGAACAUAUUCCCAAUUUUCACAGCACUGAACAUUUUAAGACUUCUUCUAAACUGAAAAUGUUACAUACAGACCGGAUAAUUUAGUAUUCCGGGUUAAGAGGUCGAGUUUGGUCAUGGAUAUCAUAUUAAUAGUAAAUAAGGUAAAGGUUUCAAGUAACUUACAAAGAUGUUGGUUUUCUAGUAAUUACUAUGGUAGGGCAUCAUAUUGUAACUACAGAGUUUACCAAGGACGAAAUGAUACAACAGUCAUGUGCUGUAAUCAAUAUCUAGGUGUUCCUUGGUUUAUGACACAGCUCUGCUCCUACGACACUGAUGUAAUCCUAUUUUGUACUUAAUAUUGAAGACAUAUAGGGCCUGAUUUACUCAGCUAACAAAUAGUGGGCGCUAAAUUGCAUGUUUGCUUGAACAGACUGCACACGCUGAUGGUGGGCCUGUUGCGCGUGAUCUUCCAAGAUCACAUUUGUUAUACUAAGAUACCAAAAUGUGAGUGCUAAAUUGCACGUGAACUCACUCUAAAAGAUUGCGCACGCUGUUGUUGCGCAACAGAUGCAAAAGUUGUGGAGACCGCCAUAUCUCGAAGAGAGAUUUACGCUUCAGGUAGCUCUGAUGGUUUUUACCUUGGCAAGCCGCAAAAAAUAUUUAUAGACACAAAAUCCGCCCAUUACAAAACAUUAGUGAAGUCAUAAUUAAAGUACAUGCAGUAUUUGUUGAAAACCCCUUCCACAGUAGGCUGAAUAAUCAAAUAAAAAAGUCACAAAAAAGAGAACAUUCCUUGACUUCACUUCUUCAUUUGGCUUUCCCACUUGAGGAGACAAUUUAUUUGUGCACCCUUCUUAACCACGAAACAAUGUAAGUUGUAAAUACCCCCUGUAUUGCAAGAAAAUAAAUACAUUUUACUCUGCUGUCUGCAACCAGGUUGGCAUUGCAAAUAGUUUACCUGGAUAAUGUUCAAUAAAUAAAUAAAAAAUACAUGACUUCAUGGACAGCUAUUAGUCAGUUUUUAAAUACAGCAGUCUGAAGUAUUUGCUGUCUGUAAAUGUGCUUGCGUAAAAAAAUAAAAACAGACUGUGGAUUGCAAAUAUUUAUUUGUCAAUGGAAGUUUUUUAUUUUUUUAUGACCCCGGGACCGACUGGAUUGGACCAUCAGAGUGUCCCCGCCGGCCAGCCUCACGCUGGUGUUCAUCUCCUCUGGUUGGCCAAGGAAAACGCACACGCGCGUUGAGGCUCGGACCUUCGUUCCUUAGCGAGACCGAGUCGGCCAGCAGUGGACCUUUCCGCCGGGGCGGUAGUGGAUCUCGCCGCUGAGCCUGUGAUGGCGGAGGACCUCCCGUUGCUGGACUUCACCACUUCAUAACACCCGGCUUUGUGUGAAGCUUUGGACCUUCACCUCGCCACGGUUGUCAUCCAAGCUCUGUUUACCCAACACACAACAACAGAAAGCCCCGAAGCCCAUGACCAACGUAAAUGGGAUGUCAAGUUUCUCUAUCCCAAAGGCCUGAGGUGAUAUUGUGUCAGAGAGUGCUUUAUCUUCCUGUAAAGGAUCCUCGGCAGCUCGGUCAUUGACGUGUGUAUUUUUUUAUUCAUUAUCAUUUUUUUUGCCACUUGCAGUCUCCAUUAUACUUGCCCUCACAAUGAAAAGUGUUCAGUUCUAUAUAUAGUAGGUUAUAAUUAAGGAGUGCUAUGGCAUAAGCAGGCUGAGCUUGACACAAAAUGUUUAGCUAAAGACAAUAUGGACAUUACACACCUCGCUACCGUAUAUAAGGCAGGAGAACCAUGUGCUUUGUUGCACCAAAAAGACCUAGAAAUGAUUUCAUGCGAUAACCUCUCUUUGACUGCUCUGAACUCCCUUUUCCACAACAAUAUUGUAUUAUGCAUAAUAAUGCACCCUGAGUGGUUGUGUACACGGUCAAAGCUCAAGCACACGUUUGGUGACAUCAUGUUGUUAUUUCAGACCUGGAAUGCUUGAGACAAAAUCAACAGCACCUCUGCUGUUUGUGGUUGUUUCACAACAUGAAUUCAUUUUACACAUGGGAUGGGCAGGAGUGCGACGGCCCAGGGAAUUGAGGGUCAAAGACUGCUGGCGGGCGAAAGGUAUUUUUAAACUUUCUUUAUUAGCAGUUCUGUGAAGUACAAUAAGUAUUUGAUCGGUUGACAUGAUUAAAUCAGCAACGAACGCUGCAUAAUCAGCAGAAUUCUUGCUGAUCAAUUUUUUUAAUCAUUAGCAUCGGCAUUAUGUUUACUAAUAAGGAAGUAUCAUGAAGUUCUGUAAAUGUUUUUAUCUUAUUUACCCAUGAAAACUAACACAAAUGAAGAGUUCCUUUUUUUAGGUUAUUUGCAGUUUGAACUCACAUGAUUUUUAUUUUUUCUGUCUUUACCAUUAUGCACUUUUGUCCUUACCGUUAUAAAGUGUAAUUCAAUGGGCCACCAUCAUUUGCUCUGUAAAUAAAGAUUGCCUUUACCAUGCCUAAAAUUUUAAAUCAUCAAUAACUUUUUGAAAAUGGGACUUUUAGCGUGGCUGUUUCAGCAUGGGAGACAUUUCCCCACCUAUAA